rnacentral:tRNA from 1 species
GCGGUUUGCAAAACGCUGGUAAACUAUUGAUAUCGCGGAGCGCAAAACAACGUCGGUUUGCAAAAAUGUGCAAGAAAAUCAACGAGAAGAUCAGACUACGAAUCUGAGGGUCGGACGUUCGAAUCGUUCCGGGCGCGCCA